UGAGUAACACGUAUCCAACCUGCCGUCUACACUUGGCCAGCCUUCUGAAAGGAAGAUUAAUCCAGGAUGGGAUCAUGAGUUCACAUGUCCGCAUGAUUAAAGGUAUUUUCCGGUAGACGAUGGGGAUGCGUUCCAUUGGAUAGUAGGCGGGGUAACGGCCCACCUAGUCAACGAUGGAUAGGGGUUCUGAGAGGAAGGUCCCCCACAUUGGAACUGAGACACGGUCCAA
rnacentral:rRNA from 1 species